CGACAAGCGGUGGAGCAUGUGGUUAAUUCGAAGCAACGCGAAGAACCUUACCAGGCCUUGACAUGCAGAGAACUUUCCAGAGAUGGAUUGGUGCCUUCGGGAACUCUGACACAGGUGCUGCAUGGCUGUCGUCAGCUCGUGUCGUGAGAUGUUGGGUUAAGUCCCGUAACGAGCGCAACCCUUGUCCUUAGUUACCAGCACGUUAUGGUGGGCACUCUAAGGAGACUGCCGGUGACAACCGGAGGAAGGUGGGGGAUGACGUCAAGUCAUCAUGGCCCUUACGGCCUGGGCUACACACGUGCUACAAUGGUCGGUACAAAGGGUUGCCAAGCCGCGAGGUGGAGCUAAUCCCAUAAAACCGAUCGUAGUCCGGAUCGCAGUCUGCAACUCGACUGCGUGAAGUCGGAAUCGCUAGUAAUCGUGAAUCAGAAUGUCACGGUGAAUACGUUCCCGGGCCUU
rnacentral:rRNA from 1 species